AUAGAGCCUGCACUUUGAAUUGUAUUUCCAGUUGGAGCAAUGAUCCAUCCACGUCCCGUUUCAGGAUCGGCUCUGCGACCAACAGCCUACCGUGAGAGCCUGGGGAUGAAAAUCAUGUCUUGAUAUAAGGCAGCUGAAACAUCCAUAGAAAACCUACUAGCUUCAUGACCAGAGGAAUCAGAGGACAGAACUUAUGGCAGCUAUAGCUGAAGGAAAGUGAGGGGACCAUCCCAGAAAGGAGAGAGCCAGAAAAUGGAAACCCCAGCUGAUGACACUGAAACAGAUGUGGAACAACAACAUACUAGGAAAACUGUACCAACGGGAUCCUCUAAAGAGAAUUGGAUCUCCUAAACGGUCUAGGACCUCUAUUAUUAAGAUGAAUUCAAGUGGUGAGAGCAGAUAUCCCUGCCUUGUUCAUGAAGUUAUAG